ACUCCUACGGGAGGCAGCAGUGGGGAAUAUUGCACAAUGGGCGCAAGCCUGAUGCAGCCAUGCCGCGUGUAUGAAGAAGGCCUUCGGGUUGUAAAGUACUUUCAGCGGGGAGGAAGGCAAUACGGUUAAUAACCGUGUUGAUUGACGUUACCCGCAGAAGAAGCACCGGCUAACUCCGUGCCAGCAGCCGCGGUAAUACGGAGGGUGCAAGCGUUAAUCGGAAUUACUGGGCGUAAAGCGCACGCAGGCGGUCUGUCAAGUCGGAUGUGAAAUCCCCGGGCUCAACCUGGGGACUGCAUUUGAAACUGGCAGGCUUGAGUCUUGUAGAGGGCGGUAGAAUUCCAGGUGUAGCGGUGAAAUGCGUAGAGAUCUGGAGGAAUACCGGUGGCGAAGGCGGACCCCUGGACAAAGACUGACGCUCAGGUGCGAAAGCGUGGGGAGCAAACAGGAUUAGAUACCCGAGUAGUCCCAU
rnacentral:rRNA from 1 species